rnacentral:rRNA from 1 species
UACGAAGGGGGCUAGCGUUGUUCGGAAUUACUGGGCGUAAAGGGCGCGUAGGCGCUUGUCAGUCAGGCGUGAAAGCCCCGGGCUCAACCUGGGAACUGCGCUUGAUACUGCAAGGCUUGAGUUCCGGAGAGGAUGGUGGAAUUCCCAGUGUAGAGGUGAAAUUCGUAGAUAUUGGGAAGAACACCGGUGGCGAAGGCGGGUCUCUGGGGCAACAACUGACGCUGAGGAGCGAAAGCGUGGGGAGCGAACAGG